UACGUAGGUGGCAAGCGUUGUCCGGAUUUACUGGGCGUAAAGAGCGCGCAGGCGGUCGUUCAAGUCGCGUGUGAAAGCCCCCGGCUCAACUGGGGAGGGUCACGCAAUACUGAUCGACUCGAAGGCAGGAGAGGGAAGUGGAAUUCCCGGUGUAGUGGUGAUAUGCGUAGAUAUCGGGAGGAACACCUGUGGCGAAGGCGGCUUUCUGGGCCCUACCUGACGCUGAGACGCGAAAGCGUGGGGAGCGAACCGG
rnacentral:rRNA from 1 species